rnacentral:rRNA from 1 species
CGAGCGAACGGACGAGAAGCUUGCUUCUCUGAUGUUAGCGGCGGACGGGUGAGUAACACGUGGAUAACCUACCUAUAAGACUGGGAUAACUUCGGGAAACCGGAGCUAAUACCGGAUAAUAUUUUGAACCGCAUGGUUCAAAAGUGAAAGACGGUCUUGCUGUCACUUAUAGAUGGAUCCGCGCUGCAUUAGCUAGUUGGUAAGGUAACGGCUUACCAAGGCAACGAUGCAUAGCCGACCUGAGAGGGUGAUCGGCCACACUGGGACUGAGACACGGCCCAGACUCCUACGGGAGGCAGCAGUAGGGAAUCUUCGGCAAUGGGGGCAACCCUGACCGAGCAACGCCGCGUGAGUGAAGAAGGUUUUCGGAUCGUAAAGCUCUGUUGUUAGAGAAGAAUGAUGGUGGGAGUGGAAAAUCCACCAAGUGACGGUAACUAACCAGAAAGGGACGGCUAACUACGUGCCAGCAGCCGCGGUAAUACGUAGGUCCCGAGCGUUGUCCGGAUUUAUUGGGCGUAAAGCGAGCGCAGGCGGUUUUUUAAGUCUGAAGUUAAAGGCAUUGGCUCAACCAAUGUACGCUUUGGAAACUGGAGAACUUGAGUGCAGAAGGGGAGAGUGGAAUUCCAUGUGUAGCGGUGAAAUGCGUAGAUAUAUGGAGGUACACCGGUGGCGAAAGCGGCUCUCUGGUCUGUAACUGACGCUGA